UUCAUACUCCCUCCGUCCGAAAAUACUUGUCGGAGAAAUGGAUAAAAAUGGAUGCAUCUAGAACUAAAAUACAUCUAGAUACAUCCAUUCCUCCUACGAGUAUUUCCGGACGGAGGGAGUAGUAA
rfam:Hordeum vulgare subsp. vulgare, WGS project CAJW01000000 data, contig: morex_contig_111467